rnacentral:lncRNA from 1 species
UUCGUUAAAAAUUUGGUAUUGCUUCUUAGGAUUAUUCCUUGUUGUCCAAUUUAUUGUGAUAGUUUCGUUUUGGUGUUGAUAUUAAAAUUCGUAUUUGUACUCCUUGAACUAGUUAAUCGUGUCAGUAUAUUUUGGAGACUUUAUUCGUUUGUACAAUUGUUCGUAUAUUUUCGUUCACAUUCGGGAGUCAUUUUGAUCAUUGAUAUAUUGUGAUAAUCAAUAAUAUUUGUAUUUGAUAAUUCGAUCUCAUUUGAAUAUGGUCAUGUAAGCCUUGUGAUUUGAACCCCUUUUGGCUUACAUUUUGUAGUUUGAUCCUUAGGUAUACUUGAGCUAACCACCUGUGGGGGUACCGCAGGCAUGUCCACUUGACACAAGGGCAUGACACCUUCCGUGGCGGUGUGAUUAGUCCACGGCGUAUCCUUUUGUAUGCUCUGGGUAUGAGCUUUGGCCAUCUGAUAUAUUUGUUCAGGAUACGUACGGGUCGACCCAGUAUUUUAUUUGAUUCGAUUUGUUUGGCGGAUUAGUGACGUAUGUGUCGUGCGUACUAUCCGAUUUGAUUUGUAUACAUCAUGGUACCGAUGUAUUUUGUUAGCCUUUGGCUAUUUGUAUUUGAGCUCAGUAUGAAAUUGUUACCAUAUAACCAUUUGAUUCAGCCUUAUUUAUUUGGAAUUCUGUUG